GUAGACCCGAAACCGGGUGAUCUAUCCAUGUCCAGGUUGAAGCUGCCGUAAAAGGCGUGGAGGACCGAACACACAUCCGUUGAAAAGGGUGGUGAUGAGGUGUGGAUAGGGGAGAAAUUCCAAUCGAACCCGGAGAUAGCUGGUUCUCCUCGAAAUAGCUUUAGGGCUAGCCUCGUGUUAGUCUCCUGGAGGUAGAGCACUGAAUUCUUAAGGGGGCGUCAAAGCUUACCAAGAGAUAUCAAACUCCGAAUGCCAGAGAGAUGAUGCACGGGAGUCAGACGGCACGAGAUAAGUUGGGUCGUCAAAAGGGAAAGAGCCCAGACCACCAGCUAAGGUCCCAAAGUGCGUGUUAAGUGGAAAAGGAUGUGGGAUUUCGAAGACAACUAGGAUGUUGGCUCAGAAGCAGCCACACAUUCAAAGAGUGCGUAAUAGCUCACUAGUCGAGAGGUCCUGCGCCGAAAAUGUCCGGGGCUGAAACACGACACCGAAGCUGUGGACUUGCCUAUGGCAAGUGGUAGAGGAGCAUUCUUAACUGCGGCGAAGCAGUACCGAUAAGGAGCUGUGGAGUGUUAAGAAGAGAGAAUGCCGGAAUGAGUAGCGAGAUGGAGGUGGGAAUCCUCCAGGCCGAAUAUCUAAGGUUUCCAGAGUAAAGCUGAUCUGCUCUGGGUAAGUCGGGACCUAAGGCAAGGUCGAAAGACGUAGUCGAUGGACAACAGGUUGAAAUUCCUGUACCACAUAUCAUCAGAACUGUGGGGACACAGGGCGAUAACCAGACCCGGGAAUGAAAAGACCGGGGCAAGCGAGGUAGGAGUUAAGCUGGCAAAUCCGCUUAACAAUCCGAAGACGUGAUGCGGACCGAACAAAAGUAGGGAAGCUGGUGAUUCGAACUGUCAAGAAAAGCCGCUAUUGUGUGAUAUGUGCCCGUACCGUAAACCGACACAGGUGGAUGAGGAGAGAAUCCUAAGGCCGGCGGGAGAAGCAUUGUUAAGGAACUCGGCAAAAUGACCCUGUAACUUCGGGAUAAAGGGUGCCUGCGCAAGCAGGCCGCAGAGAAUAGGCUCAAGCAACUGUUUAGCAAAAACACAGGUCUAUGCAAAACCGAAAGGUGAGGUAUAUGGGCUGACGCCUGCCCGGUGCUGGAAGGUUAAGAGGAGAGGUUAGAGCAAUCGAAGCUUUGAAUUUAAGCCCCAGUAAACGGCGGCCGUAACUAUAACGGUCCUAAGGUAGCGAAAUUCCUUGUCGGGUAAGUUCCGACCCGCACGAAAGGCGUAAUGAUUUGAGCGCUGUCUCGACAAUGCACCCGGUGAAAUUGAAAUACCAGUGAAGAUGCUGGUUACCUGCGCCAGGACGGAAAGACCCCAUGGAGCUUUACUCCAGCUUGAUACUGGGAUUCGGUUAUACAUGUACAGGAUAGGUGGGAGGCUAAGAAGUGAGGACGCCAGUCUUCACGGAGCCGCUGUUGGGAUACCACCCUUGUGUGACUGGGUUUCUAACCUGCAGCCGUGACCCGGCUGGGGGACAAUGUCAGGUGGGGAGUUUGACUGGGGCGGUCGCCUCCGAAAGGGUAUCGGAGGCGCUCAAAGGUUCCCUCAGAAUGGUUGGAAACCAUUUGCAGAGUGCAAAGGCAUAAGGGAGCUUGACUGCGAGACCGACGGGUCGAGCAGGUAGGAAACUAGGACUUAGUGAUCCGGUGGUAUAAAGUGGGAUUGCCAUCGCUCAACGGAUAAAAGCUACCCUGGGGAUAACAGGCUUAUCACUCCCAAGAGUUCACAUCGACGGAGUGGUUUGGCACCUCGAUGUCGGCUCAUCGCAUCCUGGGGCUGAAGUAGGUCCCAAGGGUUGGGCUGUUCGCCCAUUAAAGCGGUACGCGAGCUGGGUUCAGAACGUCGUGAGACAGUUCGGUCCCUAUCCGGCGUGGGCGUAGGAUAUUUGAGAGGAGCUGUCCUUAGUACGAGAGGACCGGGAUGGACUGACCUCUGGUGCAUCGGUUGAGAAUCAAUCUCAUGGCCGAGUAGCCAAGUCGGGACGGGAUAAACGCUGAAGGCAUCUAAGCGUGAAGCCCCCCUCAAGAUGAGAUAUCCCAUACGCAAGUAGUAAGACCCCUUGAAGACGACGAGGUAGAUAGGGCAGAGGUGGAAGUGUGGUAACACAUGUAGCUGACUGUCACUAAUAGGUCGAGGGCUUAACCAA
rnacentral:rRNA from 1 species